GGGAGAGAGGAAGAAGGGUGAGAGGCAGAAACCUGCCGCGCUCGCCGCCUCUUUGUCUGCUCCGGGACUCGGAACAAAAGGGGGAACUCUGAUGAACUCUCCCUCCUCCCCUCGCCCCGGACGCCCGGGUCUCUCCCGCUCGCAACUUUGCCGCGGCCACUUUCUCUGCUGUCAGGCCGCAGGAAAGGGUGCGAGCGCUUCGCGGGCGGCAACGAGGGAAUCGGGUCUCUUCCAAGUGCGCCGGAGUGGGCGAGAAGGUGUAAUUACUGUCAGCCACUGAGGACAUCACGCAGUUGCUGGAGUACUUCCUAGUGCUGAACUUCAUCCUGCAUUGUUUUUACUGGAUCUAUCAGCAAACGAUACGGAAAGUGCCCGUAUGACGUCAAAUCACCCCUGGGUGGAAGUUCCUCAAGGUUCUUCCUUUGGAGUUACUUAGCAGUUCAGUAGUUGGGAUUUUUUUGAAGAUGCCUUUCCUAUGUGGAUUAUUACAAUGUGAUGACCGCGAGCUCGCCACCUUCCAGAAGAUGAGGAAAUCCAGUCCCAGAGAGAAAGCAGUUUAAUGUGCCCCUUCCCUCGAGAGGAGCUGACAAAGUCCAUACGAAAAAUCGAGGUCUCCCGAUUGAGCCCAGCGCCUUUCCCCGUGUGUCACACUGCCUCCCUCAUGACUUCGGGGUUCGCUGGAGCACAGGACUGCAGGAUGGUGGAGCAUGUGCGGCUCCCAGCACCGCAGCGGAAUGAACCCAUCACGUCCGUCCAAGUCCUGAGCUCGUCCUGUAACACGUGGUGACUUGCCGCUCCUUGUGGUCUCGGAAGCAGGCUGGUCUGGAAACGUAAUCUAUAUUUAUGACACUGUUUUUAUGAGAAGCUGUAUUCUGAGUUCCAAGUAAAUUAUGGACAUUCCUCCGGAAUAUGAACCAUCUGCAAGUGCAGGUGUGAAUCAUGGUGCUACGAUGAGAGUUGGUGAUUUAUGGCUUUGGAGGGCAUGCGUGUGUAUGAUUAAGGGAUGCCUUUCGUCAAGACCACCCGUCAAAACAGGAAGAUAAAACUCAGAAGAUUUCAACUGUGAGAAGACAACUUUUGAUACUCUCUGGACUUCUUAAGUGCAAGCAGUGGAGUUUCCUGCUUUGUUUUCAAGGAGCUGUCCAUUACAAAGAGAAUCAUGCAGCAGUGUGUCCUGAAGGAAGAGCCAAGAUUUUGAAGUUUUGGAAAUGAUGGAAUGAGAAUGCAAGGAGUUUUAACUGCAACUGUAGGUAAAAUCAUCAGAUGGAAUUGCUCCAUUCUUAUCUGCGGAGUGCUAGAUCUUGAUUUGGAAGUUCCUGACAAAAUUUUCUAUAUCAACGUUACCAACUAAAGGAGCUGUUGAGUCCAAGUAUGACUGCCAAGAAAGAAUCCAGGAAAGCCAGCGCCCCAACGUGCAGCUCUGCCCGUAGCUGCCACACACGCUUUAAAACCCAAAGGAAGUGAGUGGGGAGCAGUAGGCAGAAGGAGCCAACCAGGGUCUGACCUUUGACCUCUGACAGAAAGUUCCAGCACACCUUUGGGUACCACACCAAAUGGGGACGGGGACUUCCUGGUUAUUAUACACCUGGUUUAGUCACAUGGCACAUACUCUGUAAGCACGUGUGGCAUGCCACAAGUCUCAAGGACUGGACAAAGCUUAGAAUUUGACCUUCCCAGCUGACUACCAUGAGUUCCAGUGGCCUGGUAAACACUUCAUAAACCUGCCUGGAUAUUUGUAGCUGACUAAUUUUCUGCAUUUCCUCGGGUUUAUAAUAAUUCAACGGUAAAAACAUUUUGACCUGGAGUUUUUCAAAUCUCAUAUGUAUGUGUAUUGUAUCAAUUUUGCUCCAGGGCUGCAUCGCCGUGGGCACGCCGAGCUUUCCUGGGUUACCUGAGCUGCUUCUGCCGUCUCCUGCCCGGGCUUCGCCAAGCUGCGCCCCAGCCCGGACCGUGUGCAUCUACGGCAUUGCGUGCAAGGAGGACCUGCUGGCCAGGCUCCGGCCAGGGUCUCCUCGCAGCUGGAUGAGGGGACCUGAGGACAGGGUGAAGCUGCAGAAGACCCAGGGUGGGACGGCUAGAGAGGACGCAAAGGACCGGGGAAGGGGGAGUUAGGAAUACUACACAUCCAGUGCCCACCGACGCGCCGCAGGGCUGCCGCGCGCACCCAGCUCGGCCGCUCCGGGGGACCGGUCUGGGGGAACAACCCAGGCUGGGAUACGGUGGCAUUUUACCCGAGAAUGGAGCUGAAGAUGGAUAAACCAGGUAUCUGAUGUGUCUGUCUGACAAGGCAGAGUUGGAGAAAUGCAGAGUGAGGGCGCGCGUGAAAAGGAAGAGAGGCCGAGUGCUGGGCGAUUUUCUGCCACUUCGCUGCGCGUUCUCAUCCUAGGGAGGAUGGCAUAAUUUAUACCCCGGUACAUGGAUGGAGGAACUGUAAAUUGCAGUCUGGACGUCCCCGGGGCUGUCAAGGAAGAAACUGAUGGGCUAGGUGGCUGCACCAGUGUCCCCAGAGGAAAUAGCAACCUUGCAACAUGGAUUUAAAUGCCUGUGCAUGCGUGUAGAGACAUGGAGGAAAAAAGAUUUCUGACCAUUUUACACAGGAAGUCUGUCGCGUUGCUGGAUCGGACUUGAUUGCAGCUUGUGUGUUCAGCUCCAGUUCAACACCCACUUCCUGACUAGCCAGAAAGCAUGGCCAAAGCAGCUGCACGCAGAAUUUUCUCCUUCAUGUGAAAGCAAGCCCGUCAGUUUUAACUCCUUGAAGUUCCGAGUGCUCUGUGCGUCGCUAGCCCUGAUUGCAGGGUUUUGUUUUCUUCUUCUUCUAGAAAUCCCUGUAAACACAGCUGUAUUCAGUAUGGUGAAAAAUUCUAUCCUGUAAAUAGAAAUCUGAUCAAUUUAAUCAAAAUAAAUGUAUCCCAGAUGACUUUGAGACCAGCUGGCUACCACAGGCUUCAGAUGCUAACUGCUCGGUGGAGAUGAAUACAGUGAUCUAUUUACAUGUUUUAGAACGCCAGGAGCAGCCUAUGAUUUUUUAAAAAUCCUCUUCUAAGGAGGAGAGGUGGUCCUGGUGCCUCACAGCUAAUGGUUAGGUACAGGCGCGCAUGCUAUUAUGAUGCAACUUGGGAGUCCGCUGUGUUGCAUUUUGAGGGAGGCGUGCGGUGAGCAUAGGAUGGUCGUGGUCACUGUGGAGCAAGCUGGCAGCUGACUUGCUGCUGUGGCGAGGCGAGCACCUCUGCUGAGGCUGGGCGGGAGCACUGAGGCUUGCUGGAGAUUUCAGAGGGGUGAGCUCGGUGCUGCAGCGCCAGUGCCAGUGUGGAGGAAUCGGCUCAAAUCCCGGGGUGAGGCACUUUCCCAGUUGUCAUGGGGAGCCCUCCUGGGCCGCCUGUCUGGCCCUUGCACUGUUUGUUACCCAUUCUACAAAGGCAGCUCUGUGUGCUGGAUUAUGUUUGGCCAGCUGUUGAUGCAUUCCUGAGGGUGGGGCCGCCUGAGGAUCUUGUUACUGUACUUCCAAACUGUAGAGCUGUGUGUGCGUGUGCAGGGAGAGAAGGCAGGGAACGGAGAGGCAGCAAGGGAAAGAAUCUGAGCAUAUUUACCCCUUUCUCCAGACAGUCCUCGUGCCAGUCCAGAAAGGCUGAAGCUACAGUGAAAAGAAGGCAAGAGGAGAGAGUAAGAGAUGGGGGUGUGGUGGUGGUGAGGGGAAAGAGAAUGACUGCAAGCCCCUAAGAGAAAAAACAGAACUUCAAAGCUGCAGAGACAAGCAGAAUGUCAGCAGCUUGUAAUUAGCGGUUCUUGGUUGCAUCAGUGACUGCAUCGCUCCAAGAAUAACUGCGCUGUGUGCCACAAAGCGAGGAAGAUAGUCAUAACCAAGAUAGCCAACCCAGGUCAAACAAGGGCAGACAGAUUAAGGAAUUUUCUGUGUUUGUAAAUCUCCUACUGAUGGAUUCCAUGUAUUUAAGAGUUGCUGAAUUCUGCAUAAUUGCAGACCGAGUUACUAAUUUGUCCAGAAUGGAGUGGUGGGGGUGGGGGGACAGGUUCAUUAAAUGAAACUGUGAACACUUAAAUGCAGACUAGUCCUGCAAGCUGUGUCAGUGCAAUGCAUUUCUCCCAAACAGCCAAAAACUGCACUGCCAGUCUCCUGCCUCUGCAUCCACACCUCAUUUUCAUUUGCUCUUUUGCAUUUCAACAGAAAGAAGUAGAUUUCAUAAAAUCGGUGAAAUCCCAAAGAUCCCGUGUUAGAAUUUAGAAAUGGCCAUGGCGUCCUGAUGUUUGUUGUUAGUCCUGGUCUAAACCUUGUAGGAGCUUCCCUUGUCUUGAAGCCUCCCAGCAGGUAAUCCUGCGGGAACUCAGGGUACCGCAGAUGUGGAGAUCUCAAGGCCAUGUUCAUCCUCCCCACCCCACACCUCCCUUGCCUCUGGUGCUGGGGCUUCCAGAACCUCCACAGAGACGGUGGGAGGAGCUGAUUGGUUGGGAGACUUAGACUGUUUACUGUUGUUUGUUUCCAGUGCCCCUCCACGGCAUUCAUUUUGUGUUUGUGUUUGUGUUCACGCUGCACAAUUACUCCUGACCUGCUUCGUCUCUCUGCCCAAAGAGAAGUCAGUUUUAGUUCAGCUCUGUGUGUUUGGCUUCCUUGGUGAGAUGCGCACAUGUGUUGGGUUUACCCGGGUAUGCGCCUUCCUUUUUUAAAAUAUGGAUCAGGGAAAACUGUAGGCAGGGAAAGCUGUGUGUAUUAAGUCCAUCGCUUUUUGAAUCACAUGUAAUAUAAUUUAAAUAUACUCACUUUGAGUUGCCAAAACUGACAUUGUCUGAGCCCGUUUAAUUUACAUCUUCGAUUUAGUCAAGAAGCGGAACCUGCCACAUCAGAAUAGCGUAUUCUGAGCACCCAACAGGGUGGAAGACAUUAUUUUGUUUGUGUUAGUUCAAACAGCUGGUCAUUAAUGCAGUCCCCAUUUCGGGAGUGAAGUGCCGCUGGACAUGAAUGGCUGCUUGAUUAAUGCUGCCUCUCCGAGGGUCCUUCACCCAGCAGUCAUGCUCGCAGCAGAAUAAUGUAGCAUGAUGUGAUUGCACUCUAACAGGAUAGUAUGUCAUUGUGUCACCAAGCAAUUGAGGUUAUUAUGGGGCAGGGCAGACAGACGGGACAGUGGGGUUACUAGACCGUAGCAUUUUUAGAAAUACAGGCCUGACCUACUUAGAGUUAUUCUCUCUGGCUGGCAGCUGCAUGGUACAUAAAGUCCCCUGAUAGGCUGAGACUGUUGCUAGGGGGAAUUAGCAUGAAUUUUUCCACACACAGACUCAGUGACUGAAUGAUAAAAGCCAACUGGAAUUAAAGAGAUUUGGUUUAGAAUUAUACAGAUUGAUCUGCCUCGUUUUUCUUUCUCUGCUGCAGAGAAAGAGUGCAAAACACAGAUUUUGUUUCCAUUUGUUCUUUGACCUUCUUGCCCCUCCCCUCCGUACACCUCUCCAAGGUCACGAGGGGAGGAGAACAGGACAGUUAUGAAAUUUUGCUUAAUCUCUUAAGGUUGGGGUCAUUGAAACGAUGUUGCAAAUUGUAAGAUAUUUCAGCCUGAAGUCUGCAGGCAGUGAGCUCACUGAAGCUGUUUCGAAGCUGGGCAUGCAUCUUUCAUGCACUGUAUAUUUAAACUCUUUCCCUUUUGGGCUUGAACAAAACAUUUAUAUAAAUUCUUUUCUAUCCAAACAGAUUGAAGCUUGCACUAUCUGGCUUGUUUAAAAGAAGAUCGUCAGGAUUCCAGAUUUAGACAGAAAAAAAUAUAUAGCAUUUUUUUAUUACAAAAUAUUUUUUUUCAGUGCUAUUUUAGGUUUGGCUCUCUUUUCAAAAACCAGGCUGAGGUUUAUGUUCGUGGAUGAAAUUUGACUGCUCCUUCCCUACCCCCCUUUGCUUCACAAUGUAUGGGAAGCCGUGGGGUUUUCUCUAGAAGAAAAUGUGUCUGUAGAAUUCGUCCAGCAAUGGUUUUUCCUUGAUGCUGUCAUAAUGCACAACAUGGAAAGAACUCACACCAUCUAUUAUUAUAAGCUGAGCCAUUUUUUCCCUCCUUUUCUGUCUCCCCAAGUGUCUGUAGUUUUUAAUAAAUCUUUUCUAUGAAAGGAUUGUUAAUGGAUCUUUUUAAGAUCACCUGAAAAUCUACCAGGAGAAAAAUUAAAGCAAUGUAUAUUCAAGAAUACUUUGAUUUUUCUUGUUCUUAAUUAUAUGCUAUCUGUGCUUAACCUGCAGUUUCUUUCUGUUGUCUUUUACUGCUGAAGAUAUUUAUUUUCCUGCCUUUUUGAUUUGAAGUUAAUUUUUUAUAAGAACACUCUGUGCUAUUGCAAGUAAACAAGAAGCUUGGCUACAUAGGAGAGAGACAAUGUGAUUGCUGUAUACUUCUAGCAUGGGAUUUCCUGGGCACAUGGGAAAGGCAAGAGAAAAUUUAGGUGUGGGUUUUACUUUGCAUUUAGGUUUUAAAAAAUAUUCAGAAAUACUUAGAUACGUAUGUUUUCAAACAGUGGUUUCUUCUUACAACAGGACUGCAGUCAAAACAAAACAAAACAAAAUCCUAUAAUGCUGUCAGAGCUAAGCAAUCCAUCAGUCACCUUCUUUUUUUUAAUCCAGUAGUAUUUUCAUUUUAGCAUGUAAAUAUAGCUUAUCAUGCUAAAAUAGAAUAUAUUUCCUGAUGUUGUAAAUGAUAGAACAUACCCUCAUUGGGGGAGCCUCCACAAGCCCAUUGAUUUAUAAAGAUUUCCAACCUCACACUUUGUUAAUUAAAUAAAAUAUCAAUUUGUAUUUGUGGAAUAAAAGAUUACCUUGGCCUGCUGCUCCUUCUAAAACAAAGCAAUUUUGACUUCUGCACUACUUACUUCAUUCAGGUCACUGUACAAUCAUUUAAAUAUUUGAAAGCAAAUGUAUACAAAAACGUCACUUUGAAAUCACUUAAGUGAAGGAAAAUUUUAGCAUAAUUUUAUUAACAUUCUUUAAUGGACAGAUGCAUAAUUUCCAUGUAAAUUGCAGCCUGUAUCCAGUUUCUCAAAUUGAAUGUUUAUUGUUUGAUUAAAAAUAAAUUGAUCACAUUGAAAUUGAUCACAUAAGUCCUAUUUUGUUGUUUAGGUUAUUAAGAAUUUUUCCUUAUUUUGGCUUUCAUCCAUGACCAGAGAGAGAUAAGUAUUUAGUGGAUCAAAAACAAAAAUAAUUUUUAAAAUAUUGUUUAUGCUGACUUAGCUAUAGUUAAGCUUAACUCCAAGGUAUUCACUUAGACAAUAAAUGUUCAUGGUAUUUAUUUCCUCCACUGCCAUUGAUUAAAAAAAAACAAGGGAAUGAUCCCACUUGCUUACUGUAUCAUAAUCAUCAUCAUUUGUUUAUUAGGUAAGUACAAGUGUUUACUUUCUGCUCACACAUGCAACUGGCUUUUCCACUUACAAGAUUUAACACAGACUAAUGAACUUUUGGGAGUGUUCCUGGGUAGAGGUACAUGAAGCUCAGUUAGAUUUUGGAUGCAGUAGUUUCCAUUACUGUGGUAUCCAGUACUGAAUAUUACCCAGCCCUGAUAAUGUGGGGGAGGAACUGGUAACCUUCCUGCUUGAUGUUUGGAGGUGAUCAGCUCUCCUGAUCUCACAUGCAGGCUCCAGCUCUUCUAAACCAUCUCGACACGUUCGUGAUAUUGAAGACCCCACACUGGUGAGGUCGAGAAAGCACGUUUUAACCCAGAGCUCUUCAACAUCAGUCUUUAAAUAGUUAAUAGCAUGUCAACCACCUGUGUAACUUGCCCGACCCUCUCUCUGAUAUUUUCCAGUCUUCCUUCCCACCCCUCUCCUCCCUGAUUGGCACAGUUUUGGCAUACUAUUCUGUUAGUUGAUUUGCAUGUGAGUCUCCAAGCCCUUUUUCAUCUGUGUGCCACCUGCAUAGACAUAGCUUCACACAUACUAGUUGAUUAACAAAUAAACAAAAGUGAAUUAAUGAGCAUUCAGGAGACAAAUUUUGGAGAUGAAUAAUGAAGUCUUCUGUUUGUAGGCUUAUUAGUGGUCUGGGGCAGGGAUUGGCAAAGUUUUCUAUAAAGAGUCAAGUAGGAAAUACAUUAGGCUUUGCAGGACAUGUAAAUCUCUGCUGUAGCUACUCUGGUUGGUAUAACUAGAAAACAGUCAGUUACAACUGCUGAUUGAGCAAGUGAGACUGUGUCUAAACAAAACUUGCUUUACAGGGCCAAGCAUUUGGAGCAGUGGUUAAACUGCCUCUCAGGACACCCACAUCUCAUAUUGGAGUGCCUCAAUUCAAAUCCAAGCUCUGUUUCCCAUUCCAGCUUCGGGCUAAUGUGCACCCUGGGAGGCAGAAGGUGAUGGCAGAAGUGGUUGGAUCCCUGCCACGCAUGUGGGAAACCUGUAUUGAGUUCCAGGCUCUUGGCUUUGGCCUGGCCCAGCCUUGGCUAUUGUGGUCAUUUGGGGAGUCAGCCAGCAGAUGGGAGCUCUGUCUGUCUCUUUCCUUUUCAAAUGAAAUGAAAAUAAAUAAAGCUUGUUUUAUAGAAACAAGGCAAUAGGCUAGAUCUGGUCUGUGGGCUUUAGACCCCCAAGUAUAGGAGAAUACUUGAAAAAAGUUUAUGGAGAUGGAAUUAUAAGAUAAAUUUUUUUUGCAUCAAAAUAAGCUUUAAAAUCCACAUAAAAGUGGUUUUCAAAAGGUUCAUGAAUAACAAAUAUUGUGAGAAAACUAAGCAUAGAUUUCCAUUUUAUUUGCACCAAAAUAAACUUACCUUCAAUUUCUGUUUUUUCCACAAACAUUUGGAAGUGUCAAUGUUGUUAUUCCCUUUGAUAAUUUGAGGGUGUGGCUUACACAUGGUAAGUAUAUUGAAGACACCUGGUACCUAUAUUAGAGCUCAGUGUCUUAAAACGGGGAGGAUUGAAAACAAUUUAACAAUAAGCAGAACAAGGGGCAGAUACAUGUUAUUUGUGAUGAGAACAUGUUGCUAAUUGAGCAAACUUUAUUCACUUGGUAAUGACACAGAUGCAACAGUAUAUUUUAAAGCUCAAAGAUGAAAGAAAAGAUUAUUAUUUUUCCUUAAAACAUAAUGUUGUUAAAUUGUUUGUCCUGUAAAAAAGCAAAAUGGAACAGUUUUACCUCUCAGAAUUUUCAUCCUGGGUCUGAUUGCAAGGAGGAAGCCUGCUGUCCUUGCUUAAAGAACUGUGCAAAAUUCAAAAUGGGCCAAGUGGUCAAUCUGGAAUCACAGCUGUUGUGUUAGAUUAGCAUUUACCUGUUCUUCUUCAAAAAGUUUUAUUAGUUUUUAUUUAUUUGGAAGAGUGACAGAGAGAGAGGAGAGAGAGAGAGAGAGAAAGAGAAAAAUAGGAAUCUUUUCAUUCACUGGCUCAUUCCCCAGAUGCUAGCUAGCUAUAGCCAGGACUGGGGCAGGCCAAAGCCAGGAGCCAGGAACUCCAUCUAGAUUUCCUAUGAGGGUGGCAGAGACCCAGUUACUUGAGCUGUCAACACUGCCUCCCAGGGUGUACAUUAACAGGGAGCUGGGUCGGAAGUGGAGCAGUAACUUGAAGCCAGGCACUCUAAUAUAGAUUGAGGGUUUCCCAAGUGGUGCCCUGACCACUGUGCCACUUUGCUCUUCCCCUAUUCUUUUAAUCCAUGUAAAUUCUUUCAACAACCUGAUCCAGAAGUUCCCUUUCUCCUUCUCCUUGGUCCCUUCUCUGUUAGGUAGUAGUUAACUUCUAAUAUUAGGGGUUCUACCUAUUCGCACCCCUUUCUUGGCUUUCCUCCUUGCUACGCAGCAGUCUAUGUUGGCCUUAUAUGAGGGGAUUUCAAAAAGUGUAUGAAAAAUGGCAUGAAAAGUUUAUUUUGGUGCAAAAACCUCUGAGAUCCAUGUACACACACAAAAACAAAUCUUCAAAAUUCAUGGAAACUGUAUCUUAUGAAGAAAGUACAUGGAUUUCUAUUUUUUGCACCAAAAUAAACUCACCUUGUAAUUUGCAUGUCAGGUGGAUUGGGAAAAGUAAUUAAGCAAGGAUAACAGUUAUAUAGAAGCACAGGCCCAGGUAUUAGGUGCCCACUGUGUUUAAAUUUCAAUCCUGAAACCCACCAGCAGUGUGAUGGGGACACUUUAAUGAACUUCAAACUUGCUCAUUGAUAAACUCAGGAUACUAGGAUACUGGUUACCUUGCAGAGCUCCUGGUGAUACCAUUCAAGGUACAUCUAGAAUAUUCUCUUUCAGGAGUCACAUAUUGGAAGCCCUGAAGCCUAGAGCAGAGCAGAUACAGAAGCCCACUCAAGUCUAGAGGCAUCGAUAUUUCUCAAGGAAAUGUGUGCUCGCUGUAGCACCACUAUUUUUUUUAAUUGGUUUUAUGUGUUUUAGCAUAGUCUCUUCUAGGAAUGUCCUAGAGACACAGAUUGGUUUUUGUCUUUUUAAGGUAAGGACAGAUAGAACAAAAAGUCCUGCUCUUCUACCCUAAGGCUACAAAUUCCUUAUUUGAAAAUUAUGUUUAAGGCUUAUCUCCUCCAGAAAGUUUAUCCUGAUUAAAUGGCUUGGGAGUAACACAUGGCCACAAACAUUCUUCAGUAUUAAGCUGAUUUUGUGUCCAAUGACUUUUUUAAGAGCAUUUGUUAUUCUUCAUUGCCCUUCCAGGCAUGUCUUCAGUAAUCAUGCUCCCCUUGGAAACUCUUUGACUCCCAGAUGUGUCCUAGGCUGUCUUCUUGUGAGAGUCCCCCCCCCCCCCCCCGCCCAGUCACACCAUGCAAAGCCCUUAUUCAAUCUUUAUUCUGCAUUUUUUCCUUUCUGAUCACCUCUCCGUUAAACUGUAAGUGGCACAGGGCAGGAGAACCGUGCCUUUAAUAUGGUAUGCCCAGCGGCUGGGAGAGCCAUAGGUGCACUCUAAGUACUUAAAUAUUUGUGAAACAAAUGACUACCAGAGGUAGUUUAUUCUGUACAUUCUAAUAAUUCAUAUUAAAUAAGUCACUUAGAAUUUUACUAAGUAUAAAUGGUGAUUCUUACAAGUUAAUCUAC